AAUACUACAUUUUAUUAUGUCAUAACACUAAAAACAAAACUAAAUGGAUGAAUGUGUUAUUGUCAUUUGGCACAAAUACAAGUUCAUAUAUUUAACAUGGUAUAUAAAGAAAUAUCAACAAAAUACUGGUUUGCUCUACAAAAUAAAUGAAAUGCAAUAAAUUCUUUAAGUUUCAGUCCUAAAAGGCAUGAAUUUAAAACUUAACUUAAACAUACACAUAUGACAUAAAAAAAUAAGGAGAUGAUAUAUGAUUGCCUAUUAGACAACUAUCCACCAAAGUUCAAAUGAUGUGUAUGUAAGCAAUUGUAUACAACUGUACCGUCUUCAACAAUGAGUAAAAUGACUGAAUGAGAAUAAAAUCUUUUCUUGACUUUUUUACAUUGGAACAUAUUGCAUUCAAGUAUUUGAAAACAGAAUGUUGUUAACCAAAUAUAAAGUCAUUUUCUUCUUUCAUUCCAAAGACCUUAUUAAUAAUUAAAAAUAUAGGAAAAAGGAGGUCGGUGUUUGAGAGCAUUAAAUAGUACACACAGCUUAAAACUAAUCGGUGUCAAACUUCUUAUUGAAUAGGAAGUCAUCCCAUCCACUAGUACCUAAGAAAAGUGUGAUAAAAAUCGUUGAAUAAAUGACAAGGUGAUUGGGGAAUAACCCUCACUUCUAGAGCAUAUAAACUCAAAGUGUUGUAGGAGUUCUGUAUUUAUUUUGCAACCUUUAAAUACAUAAUAUCACAGACAAUUUAACAAUAAAAUAUAAUGCAAUUUUUAACAUUACUAAACUAAGGUAAACAAUAACAUGAAGAAACAUUUCAACAAGCAUAAAUAAUAAAAAAAAUAAAGCAAUAAUACUAUAACUUUAAGGCAACCUAGACUUAUAGUAAAAAAGGUUUUGUCAAUUUCAUCACAUUUGACCAAGUAAAAUGGUCUGAAUUUGUACAAACCAAUAAACAAAAUUCAAUAUAAAAUACAGUGACCAAUGACAAUGAAUAACAGGAUCCUGACUUGGGACAAGCAUAUACAGAAUGUGACAAGGUUUAACAUGCUUGUGAGUGCUCAACCCUCCCAUGACUAGAGGGUAGUAGUGUAACACGCCAUAAGUGAAAUCAGAAAAAAUCAGUUGGAAAAGUCUUUGACUUACCACAAAACAAACAAAAAGACUAAUGAAACAAAGUACUAAUCUAAGAUUACUCGCAGAUACUGAAAGCUAUCUCAUUCAGUACACAUCCAAUGGAUUUAGUGUAAAGAUGUCAUAAACAGUCUAAAGAAAAAAACACGACAAUGGGCACUGUCAAAAUAUACACGGUAGCAAGUCAUUUCGUACCCAAAAUUACCAUUUCGUACCCAACAUUUACCAUUUCGUACCUUCAGUAAAAACAAUUUCGUACCCUAUGGGCAAUUCCCGCAAAAUUCAUCUACCAUUUCGUACCUCAUGGACUAUAUGCAUGUUUACCAUUUUCUAUCAUAUAUUUUUAGAAGUUCUAAUUAUUUUUAAGAUGUAAAACAUUUUGGGAUGAUUUUUUUUUAAUCAUAACAUAUAUAUAAAUUGCAUUCAGCCAUAGAAAUUUUAUAAAGACCCAUGAUCGGUUUGAUUAGGCAGCAUUUGUAAAUUGAAAUAGUUUUAAUUACACUUUGUUUGUUUGCAGGAUUGAACUUUAAUUAUUUUUUCAACUCUUAAAAUAUGAGGUUAAUUAACCAAAAAAGUAAUAAUUCUCUGCAACUGUUUUUAUAGUUAUUAACAGUUGUUUUUGUCAGGAAAUGCAGUGAAAAGGGGCACAAGCUGAUACUCACACAAGAAGAGGCAAUGAAUAAAAAUGUUUGCAUAAAAAUUUGCACCAUAUGUUACCAAUCAAAGAACUUGCUAUGGCUUUUUUAAUUCCAGAAAUUAAAAAAAAAAUUAUAUAUACAUUCCAUGAGGAACAAAAUGGUAUACAUAUAAUUCUUCCAUAAGGUAACGAAUGGUGCACAUCAAUGAGACAGUUUUUAUCAAGAAAUCAGGAACAUAUAAGUUUUCCAUGAGGUAUGAUUUGGUUUACAUUUAAAUCUUGCAUGAGGUACGAAAUGGCAUACAUAUAAACUUUCAUUAGGUAUGAAAUGGCAAACAUAUAAACUUUCAUUAGGUACGAAAUGGCAAACAUAUAAACUUUCAUUAGGUACGAAAUGGC